ensembl:lncRNA
CCCCCCCCCGCUCACCCUUUGGGGAAUUAACCCCUCCGCUCCACCGGCUCAUUAGUCAAAACGGUCCGAGGCGAAGGACUGAGGGAUGUUCGUGCCACGUCUAUUUCCGUCCUCCUCUCCCCUAUUCCGCUGCAGAGACGGAGCAGGGGCGGUCCGCCUAGCAGUUACAAGGAGACAGCCAGUGUUGCCGUUCCCCCCCCCCUGGGAAGGAAGCAGUAUUGCCAGAUGGAGCCGUGGUCAGCUUCAAGUUGGGAGCCGCGGCCCAGGAUGGGCAAUUUGGACCCCACUCUGUGGCGGCAAUUUGUUCAGGACAGAAAUAACUCGGUCUUGAACUGAAAAUACACUGU